rnacentral:rRNA from 1 species
CUUGAAACACGGACCAAGGAGUUUAUCGUGUACGCAAGUCAUUGGGUGUAUAAAACCUAAAGGCGAAAUAAAAGUAAAGAGUUGAGUUUAUGGAUAAGAAUUUAUUUUCUUAUUUCAUAACUCUCUUAAGGGAAGAUGAAAAUUUAAUUAAUAAUAUAUUUUUAAUAUAUUAUUAAUGCAAAUUUUUCGCACUCCCAGGGCGCUUGUUUCACGCUUUGCGUGUCAAUGCGCACCUAGAGCGUACACGCUGAUACCCGAAAGAUGGUGAACUAUGCCUGGCCAGGACGAAGCCAGGGGAAACCCUGGUGGAGGUCCGCAGCGAUUCUGACGUGCAAAUCGAUCGUCGGAGCUGGGUAUAGGGGCGAAAGACCAAUCGAACCAUCUAGUAGCUGGUUCCCUCUGAAGUUUCCCUCAGGAUA